CCUACGGGUGGCAGCAGUCGAGAAUCAUUCACAAUGGGGGAAACCCUGAUGGUGCGACGCCGCGUGGGGGAAUGAAGGUCUUCGGAUUGUAAACCCCUGUCAUGUGGGAGCAAAUUAAAAAGAUAGUACCCCAAGAGGAAGAGACGGCUAACUCUGUGCCAGCAGCCGCGGUAAUACAGAGGUCACAAGCGUUGUUCGGAAUCACUGGGCGUAAAGCGUGCGUAGGCUGUUUCGUAAGUCGUGUGUGAAAGGCGCGGGCUCAACCCGCGGACGGCACAUGAUACUGCGAGACUAGAGUAAUGGAGGGGGAACCGGAAUUCUCGGUGUAGCAGUGAAAUGCGUAGAUAUCGAGAGGAACACUCGUGGCGAAGGCGGGUUCCUGGACAUUAACUGACGCUGAGGCACGAAGGCCAGGGGAGCGAAAGGGAUUAGAUACCCCUGUAGUC
rnacentral:rRNA from 1 species